GAUUAACGCUGGCGGCGUGCCUAACACAUGCAAGUCGAGCGGCAGCGAGUUUUACACUGAAUUCUGGAAGCUUCUAGUUGAAAGAGAAGAUUUAUUCAAGAAUUUUGUGUAAAAUGUCGGCGAGCGGCGGACGGCUGAGUAACGCGUGGGAACGUACCCCAAAGUGAGGGAUAACGCAUCGAAAGGUGUGCUAAUACCGCAUAUGGUCUUCGGAUUAAAGCCUUCGGGCGCUUUGGGAACGGCCUGCGUAAGAUUAGAUAGUUGGUGGGGUAAUGGCCUACCAAGUCGACGAUCUUUAACUGGUUUGAGAGGAUGAUCAGUCGGACUGGAACUGAGACACGGUCCAGACUCCUACGGGAGGCAGCAGUGAGGAAUCUUCCACAAUGGGCGAAAGCCUGAUGGAGCAACGCCGCGUGCAGGAUGAAGGCCUUCGGGUUGUAAACUGCUUUUAUAAGUGAGGAUUAUGACAGUAACUUAUGAAUAAGGAUCGGCUAACUACGUG
rnacentral:rRNA from 1 species